rnacentral:rRNA from 1 species
UACGAAGGGGGCUAGCGUUGCUCGGAAUCACUGGGCGUAAAGCGCACGUAGGCGGACUCUUAAGUCGGUGGUGAAAUCCUGGAGCUCAACUCCAGAACUGCCUUCGAUACUGGGAGUCUCGAGUCCGGGAGGGGUGAGUGGAACUGCGAGUGUAGAGGUGAAAUUCGUAGAUAUUCGCAAGAACACCAGUGGCGAAGGCGGCUCACUGGCCCGGUACUGACGCUGAGGUGCGAAAGCGUGGGGAGCAAACAGG